GAAAUGCGAUAAGUAAUGUGAAUUGCAGAAUUCAGUGAAUCAUCGAAUCUUUGAACGCACAUUGCGCCCGCCAGCAUUCUGGCGGGCAUGCCUGUUCGAGCGUCAUUUCAACCCUCGAGCCCGACUCUUUUGAGGACGGCUCGGCGUUGGGGGACGGCAGACUCCCCCCGGCAUCUCGCCGGGGACGCCGCCCCCGAAAUCUAGUGGCGGCCCUCCGAGGCGACCUCUGCGUAGUAACUUGUUCCCGCACCGGAAAGCUCAGAGCGGCCACGCCGUAAAACCCCAACUUUUUUCAGGUUGACCUCGAAUCAGGUAGGACUACCCGCUGAACUUAAGC
rnacentral:misc_RNA from 1 species